rnacentral:rRNA from 1 species
GUUUGAUCCUGGCUCAGAGCGAACGCUGGCGGCGUGCUUAACACAUGCAAGUCGAGUGCGCGGUUGUAGCAAUACAACUGGCGCACGGCGCACGGGUGAGUAACACGUGGGCAACCUGCCCUUCAAUGGGGGAUAACCCCGCGAAAGCGGGGCUAAUACCGCAUGAUAUUCCGAGAACUUCGGUUUUUGGACUCAAAGGCCGUAAGGUCGUUGAAGGAGGGGCCCGCGCCCGAUUAGCUUGUUGGCGAGGUAACGGCUCACCAAGGCUUUGAUCGGUAGCCGGUCUGAGAGGAUGGCCGGCCACACUGGAACUGAGACACGGUCCAGACUCCUACGGGAGGCAGCAGUGGGGAAUCUUGCGCAAUGGGCGAAAGCCUGACGCAGCGACGCCGCGUGGGGGAUGAAGCUUCUCGGAGUGUAAA